GACGAACGCUGGCGGCGUGCUUAACACAUGCAAGUCGAACGAUGAAGCCGGAGCUUGCUCUGGUGAAUUAGUGGCGAACGGGUGAGUAACACGUGAGUAACCUGCCCUUGACUCUGGGAUAACUGCGGGAAACUGUAGCUAAUACCGGAUACGACCCUCGGAGGCAUCUCCUGGGGGUGGAAAGAAUUUCGGUCAAGGAUGGACUCGCGGCCUAUCAGCUAGUUGGUGAGGUAAAGGCUCACCAAGGCGACGACGGGUAGCCGGCCUGAGAGGGUGACCGGCCAAACUGGGACUGAGACACGGCCCAGAGUCCUACGGGAGGCAGCAGUGGGGAAUAUUGCACAAUGGGCGCAAGCCUGAUGCACGGACGCCGCGUGAGGGAUGAAGGUCUUCGGAUUGUAAACCUCUUUCAGUAGGGACGAAGCGAAAGUGACGGUACCUAAAGAAGAAGCACCGGCUAACUACGUGCCAGCAGCCGCCGUAA
rnacentral:rRNA from 1 species